rnacentral:rRNA from 1 species
UACGUAGGGUGCGAGCGUUAAUCGGAUUCACUGGGUUUAAAGGGUGCGUAGGUGGGUUGGUAAGUCAGUGGUGAAAUCCCCGAGCUUAACUUGGGAACUGCCAUUGAUACUAUUUGUCUUGAAUACUGUGGAGGUCAGCGGAAUAUGUCAUGUAGCGGUGAAAUGCUUAGAUAUGACAUAGAACACCAAUUGCGAAGGCAGCUGGCUACACAAAUAUUGACACUGAGGCACGAAAGCGUGGGGAUCAAACAGG